AACCUGGUUGAUCCUGCCAGUAGUCAUAUGCUUGUCUCAAAGACUAAGCCAUGCAUGUCUAAGUAUAAGUAUUAUACAGCGAAACUGCGAAUGGCUCAUUAAAACAGUUAUAAUUUAUUUGAUAAUCGAAUUUACAUGGAUAACCGUGGUAAUUCUAGAGCUAAUACAUGCUGGUAGGCCCGACUUUUUGGAAGGGCGGUAUUUAUUAGAUAACAAACCAAUAUUCCUCUGGUCUAUUGUGGUGAAUCAUAAUAACUGAUCGAAUCGCAAGGUUUUUAACCGCGAUAAGUCAUUCAAGUUUCUGCCCCAUCAGCUUUCGAUGGUAGUGUAUUGGACUACCAUGGCUUUUACGGGUAACGGAGGAUUAGGGUUCGAUUCCGGAGAGGGAGCCUGAGAAACGGCUACCACAUCUA
rnacentral:rRNA from 1 species